ACGCCUAAUACAUGCAAGUCGAACGAAGUAGCAAUACUUAGUGGCAGACGGGUGAGUAACAUGUGGGUAUCUUCCCUUUGGCCUGGAAUAACAUGAGGAAACUUAUGCUAAUACCGGAUAAGUCUUUACGGAGAAAGCUUUAUGCACCAUUGGAUGAGCCUGCACUUGAUUAGUUUGUUGGUGGGGUAAUGGCCUACCAAGACAAUGAUCAAUAGCUGAUUUGAGAGGAUGAUCAGCCACAUUGGGACUGAGACACGGCCCAAACUCCUACGGGAGGCAGCAGUAGGGAAUCUUGCACAAUGGAGGAAACUCUGAUGCAGCGAUGCCGCGUGAGUGAAGAAGGCCCUUGGGUUGUAAAGCUCUUUCGUCGGGGAAGAAAAUGACUGUACCCGAAUAAGAAGGUCCGGCUAACUUCGUGCCAGCAGCCGCGGUAAUACGAAGGGACCUAGCGUAGUUCGGAAUUACUGGGCUUAAAGAGUUCGUAGGUGGUUAAAAAAGUUGGUGGUGAAAUCCCAGAGCUUAACUCUGGAACUGCCAUCAAAACUUUUUAGCUAGAGUAUGAUAGAGGAAAGCAGAAUUUCUAGUGUAGAGGUGAAAUUCGUAGAUAUUAGAAAGAAUACCAAUUGCGAAGGCAGCUUUCUGGAUCAUUACUGACACUGAGGAACGAAAGCAUGGGUAGCGAAGAGGAUUAGAUACCCUCGUAGUCCAUGCCGUAAACGAUGUGUGUUAGACGUUGGAAAUUUAUUUUCAGUGUCGCAGUGAAAGCAAUAAACACACCGCCUGGGGAGUACGAC
rnacentral:rRNA from 1 species